rnacentral:rRNA from 1 species
GACAGAGGGUGCAAACGUUGCUCGGAUUUACUGGGCGUAAAGCGCGUGUAGGCGGGCGUCUAAGUCGGGUGUGAAAUCCCCGGGCUCAACCUGGGAAUUGCAUUCGAUACUGGAUAGCUAGAGUUCGGCAGAGGGAAGCGGAAUUUCGGGUGUAGCGGUGAAAUGCGUAGAUAUCCGAAGGAACAUCAGUGGCGAAAGCGGCUUCCUGGACCAGAACUGACGAUCAGGCACGAAAGCGUGGGGAGCAAACAGG